AUUUUAGUAGCCUUCGUGGAAGAAAAAAGCAGAAGAAAAGGGAGUAGGAUCUGAGAUUUUUGAUAUUUUAAUCUAUUUAAUUCAGAGAUCAGUGAUGGCAGAAUGCAGAGAUCCCUGAAUGCAGUAUGGUAUGCGGUAUUCAGUUAUGCUAUACUUUUAUGCAAAGUAUCUAUUUUUUCAGUGCCUGUGAUCUGUACAACACUAAAGAUUAUAAAUAUAAUAAUAUGUGCAUGUCUCUUGAGAAUAAAUUCUGGUUGAUAUAACUUGGGUUGAAUUAUGCAAGAAAAGUCUUUUGUAAUUCCAUUAGAAGCAGUCUUUUAAAUUUUUGCAUGCAAACAUGAAAUAUGUUGUAGGUAUUCCAGUUGCUAUAAAAUGGGACAAAAAUAGAUUUCAAUAUGUCUACUAAUUCAAGACAUACAUUCAUGACAAAAUAUACAGGCUGUUUAUUU
ensembl:lncRNA